AUGUGUUCAUUGUUCCUCCUUUAUCCACCGGCUCGGUUCCAUCGUACACAUUUUGCCACCAACAUCAUUAUUUUCCUCAAGGCUAAAGAUGAUCAACCUGAUUAUAUUGCAAGGAUUGUCGAGUUCUUCGAAUCUGAAGACAAAGAUCUAUUUUUUACUGCUCAAUGGUUUUACAAAGCCGGAGAUAUUGAAAGAUUUUUUUAA